rnacentral:rRNA from 1 species
CCNGCCAUGCCGCGUGUGUGAAGAAGGUCUUCGGAUUGUAAAGCACUUUAAGUUGGGAGGAAGGGUUGUAGACUAAUACUCUGCAAUUUUGACGUUACCGACAGAAUAAGCACCGGCUAACUCUGUGCCAGCAGCCGCGGUAAUACAGAGGGUGCAAGCGUUAAUCGGAAUUACUGGGCGUAAAGCGCGCGUAGGUGGUUUGUUAAGUUGGAUGUGAAAGCCCCGGGCUCAACCUGGGAACUGCAUCCAAAACUGGCAAGCUAGAGUACGGUAGAGGGUGGUGGAAUUUCCUGUGUAGCGGUGAAAUGCGUAGAUAUAGGAAGGAACACCAGUGGCGAAGGCGACCACCUGGACUGAUACUGACACUGAGGUGCGAAAGCGUGGGGAGCAAACAGGAUUAGAAACCCUUGUAGUCCAGACCAAGUCUCGNCU